rnacentral:lncRNA from 1 species
UAUAUUAAAACUUGUUUGACUUUUGAAUGGAGACUUUGAGGCUGAGUAGGCCGCGGGUAAAACGCGUCCUGUUCGACGUUCGACGACGCCCGUUUGAUUGGUACGCUUUGAUCUCCGCCAUAUUCAGUCCCUUAAAUGAUAGAGGUCGUACAGAAGGGAUAUCGCAUUGCCAUCGCAGCCAUCGGCGACAACGGUCAUCAGGUUGUGAUCCAGGUUUCGCUUCUGCAGCCGCUUUAGCAUCUUCUUUAAGGCGCUGAGGAUCUCCAUGUUUUCCAUCUGUUGGACUCUCAGCGACGCCACAGUCGGUCUGCUGUCAACCAAAAAAUCGGCUUCCUGUAGUCCUCCAGGAGUACAAAUAGGUUUGAUUUUCCCUCGCUCCAGUUUCCGUUUCUGGUUGGGCUGCCUAACAUGGUUGUACGUCUCAUUGAUGUCCCUUCUUCGUGCUCGGUGCCCUCAGUUCAAUAUUGCUAUUCGAAAAGGGAGUACUGAACCUAUUCUAGUCCAAUAUAUAUAUACAUAGCUCGAAUCAUUUUGGAUUUUGGCGAUUUUCUUAAAAAACCUUUAUUUGCUGUGAUUUUACAUGAGCUUUGGUGACAACAGACCUAUAGUCUCUGAAAACGAGGCGUCAAACAAGACAGACGGACAUACAGAUAAACAGACAGACUAUUGACAUACCAAUCGGAACCAAUUCUAUAUUUGCACUUUAAAAGUUGAUUACGAAAUCGAGGAUGUGAUUCAGAUCCCAUUUCAGAUCCAGAAGAGCUUCAGAGAACAUUUCGAUAGGUAAUUUGGACUUUUCAAAGUCUUUUCAAAAUCUGAAAAACGUACACUAGCUUUUCUAGAGCCCCCAAUUGCUGAUAAUUUCUCUCAAUCGUCGACGACAGAAUGAAGGAUCAAAGCAAAGGCACGGAGCAAAAAAUGCCAAAGAGUCGUACAAUGCACAAUCGCAAAAUUCAGCCGAAGCUUGACAUCCAGCUUCACCGACGCCGCCACCACCUCGAUAGAGUCAUCCGGUAUGAAACAUUUGAUUCAGAAUUUGAUCCAGAAUAGAUACAAACCAAUGCCUUCCCUUGUGUUUCUAUGUCAGGACAAACGGCUUCGUGCAUUGAAUUAUCACAUCGCUGAUAGUAAGUAUUGCAUAUGAAAUACAAAUAAAACCGCCCAUUUCAAAAAUCGAUACCGAAUCAUUUUUUUGCAGCUCUUGUGGACAAUUUUGGUUAAAUACCAGCAUUUGGUAUUUGUUGGUAUUUGACAACAUGGUGCCACUUUUCCCACUGGCGCCAAAUAAUAAAAUUGCCGUUGAUGUUCUUAAAACUGCCGUCGGUGGUUACUUAAAUUCCGGGCGGUGCUAAGGAAGCAAGAAUUUAAUAAAUAUUUCAAUAUUUCGGCGCGGCCCGCCAGUUCAUUGAAUUCAAAUUUCCUUAUUGCACACUGGCACCAUCUACCACGCCCUAGCAGAAUCGGAGAAGGCGAAAUUUUGUUCACAGUGCCAUCUAUUAGUCACAAUUGAAACUCAUACGGGGACCGUGUUACGAAAAACAGGAACAGGUGGCGCUAUUGAUGUCGAAUUAAAGGAAAGAAACACAGCCUGGAAAAUAAUAAAUUAUCUGUAGUAUUUUUAUACUCGAUACUCGAAGAGUAAAUAGUAAUAGGGUAUAUUGUAUUUGUGUGGAAAAUUGAAUGUACAUAUGUAACGCAGAGAAGGAAACCUUUUUCUUAUAUUUUCCACGUUCUCUCUCACUUUGCUUCUUGUAGUGAGCGGCUCUUGGCGAGGGGCGAGCUAAC